rnacentral:rRNA from 1 species
UUGGAAAGAAUUUUGGUCAAGGAUGGACUCGCGGCCUAUCAGCUAGUUGGUGAGGUAAUGGCUCACCAAGGCGACGACGGGUAGCCGGCCUGAGAGGGUGACCGGCCACACUGGGACUGAGACACGGCCCAGACUCCUACGGGAGGCAGCAGUGGGGAAUAUUGCACAAUGGGCGAAAGCCUGAUGCAGCAACGCCGCGUGAGGGAUGACGGCCUUCGGGUUGUAAACCUCUUUUAGUAGGGAAGAAGCGAAAGUGACGGUACCUGCAGAAAAAGCACCGGCUAACUACGUGCCAGCAGCCGCGGUAAUACGUAGGGUGCAAGCGUUGUCCGGAAUUAUUGGGCGUAAAGAGCUCGUAGGCGGUUUGUCGCGUCUGCUGUGAAAUCUGGGGGCUCAACCCCCAGCCUGCAGUGGGUACGGGCAGACUAGAGUGCGGUAGGGGAGAUUGGAAUUCCUGGUGUAGCGGUGGAAUGCGCAGAUAUCAGGAGGAACACCGAUGGCGAAGGCAGAUCUCUGGGCCGUAACUGACGCUGAGGAGCGAAAGCAUGGGGAGCGAACAGGAUUAGAUACCCUGGUAGUCCAUGCCGUAAACGUUGGGAACUAGAUGUGGGGGCCAUUCCACGGUCUCCGUGUCGCAGCUAACGCAUUAAGUUCCCCGCCUGGGGAGUACGGCCGCAAGGCUAAAACUCAAAGGAAUUGACGGGGGCCCGCACAAGCGGCGGAGCAUGCGGAUUAAUUCGAUGCAACGCGAAGAACCUUACCAAGGCUUGACAUAUACCGGAAACGUCCAGAGAUGGUCGCCCCGCAAGGUCGGUAUACAGGUGGUGCAUGGUUGUCGUCAGCUCGUGUCGUGAGAUGUUGGGUUAAGUCCCGCAACGAGCGCAACCCUCGUUCUAUGUUGCCAGCACGUUAUGGUGGGAACUCAUAGGAGACUGCCGGGGUCAACUCGGAGGAAGGUGGGGAUGACGUCAAAUCAUCAUGCCCCUUAUGUCUUGGGCUUCACGCAUGCUACAAUGGCCGGUACAAAGGGCUGCAAUACCGUAAGGUGGAGCGAAUCCCAAAAAGCCGGUCUCAGUUCGGAUUGAGGUCUGCAACUCGACCUCAUGAAGUCGGAGUCGCUAGUAAUCGCAGAUCAGCAACGCUGCGGUGAAUACGUUCCCGGGCCUUGUACACACCGCCCGUCAAGUCAUGAAAGUCGGUAACACCCGAAGCCAGUGGCCUAACCCUUGUGGAUGGAGCUGUCGAAGGUGGGAUCGGUGAUUAGGACUAAGUCGUAACAAGGUAGCCGUACCGGAAGGUGCGGCUGGAUCACCUCCUUUCUAAGGA